rfam:Setaria italica strain Yugu1 chromosome IX, whole genome shotgun sequence.
UCUAUUGGAGAUGAUGAAGUUGUGGUGCAUAUUUUCAAUGGUUUAGAUUUCAAUUAUCAUCCUUUUGUGUCCUCUAUGCUUGGCCGUGGUGAUGCUAUUUCACUUUUGGAUCUGUACUCACAACUUAUGGAGUAUGACC